GAGGGAAUCUUCGGCAAUGGACGAAAGUCUGACCGAGCAACGCCGCGUGAGUGAAGAAGGUUUUCGGAUCGUAAAACUCUGUUGUUAGAGAAGAACAAGGACGUUAGUAACUGAACGUCCCCUGACGGUAUCUAACCAGAAAGCCACGGCUAACUACGUGCCAGCAGCCGCGGUAAUACGUAGGUGGCAAGCGUUGUCCGGAUUUAUUGGGCGUAAAGCGAGAGCAGGCGGUUUCUUAAGUCUGAUGUGAAAGCCCCCGGCGCAACCGGGGAAGGUCAUUGGAAACUGUGCGACUUGAGUGCAGAAGAGGCGAGUGCAAUUCCAUGUGUAGCGGUGACUUGCGUAGAUAUAUGGCGGAACACCAGUGGCGAAGGCGGCUCUCUGGUCUGUAACUGACGCUGCGGCUCGAAAGCGUGGGGAGCAAACAGG
rnacentral:rRNA from 1 species